rnacentral:rRNA from 1 species
GGAGGGUGCAAGCGUUGUUCGGAAUCACUGGGCUUAAAGCGCGUGUAGGCGGGACGUCAAGUGUCGUGUGAAAGCCCCGGGCUCAACUCGGGAAUUGCGCGGCAAACUGGCGUUCUUGAGGCAAGUAGAGGUGACUGGAACGACCGGUGGAGCGGUGAAAUGCGUAGAUAUCGGUUGGAACGCCGGAGGCGAAAGCGGGUCACUGGGCUUGUCCUGACGCUAAGACGCGAAAGCGUGGGGAGCAAACAGGAUUAGAUACCCUGGUAGUCCACGCCGUAAACGAUGCGCACUAGGUCUGAGGGGCUCUCACGCCACUCGUGCCGAAGCAAAAGUGCUAAGUGCGCCGCCUGGGGAGUACGGCCGCAAGGCUAAA